GUCAGGAAGGCGAAUGCUAUAAAAUAUUCUUAGACAUACAUGGCUGUUCACCAUUGGAAACCAAGUUCAAAUAUGAAAAUGCGGACUAGAAAAGAAUAGAAGGAAAUUUGGGGGGAACUCCUAAAUUCUAUACCCCAUUCCUGCUGAUCUUUUAAAUUCCCAUUGGCUUCAUAGAAAAUUACAAAGCUAAGCAAUUACACUAAAUUGUAAGCAAUAUUUCUUGUGAUAAUAAUUAAUAUGAUUAUUCAGGUAACUGCUGUCAAAUUUUAAAACUAUGGAGAUUAACAAGGAACAACGGGCACAAAAUAAGAAUUAUGAAAAUAUGUCCAAGCUGACAAGAGUCGACUUCAAUUUGCUUCACGAAGCUGCCUGCCCAUGAAAGAUACAUUAUGCAAGGUCAUUUACCUGAAAAUGGGAUCCUCCACUUAAGGGCUUGUUUGUCCCUAUUGCUGGUCUCCUGCUCCAAAUCUCCUUCCUCUUUGUGCAAGUUCACAAUGUGUCAUAAAGAGGAUGACACUAUCUCAACUGGGUGUUCUCAUACUCAAGGAAGGAAGGCACAAACAACCAUGUGAGAUGAGAAAGCAAAUGAAGAGUGUGGACUUUACCCUUUUGUGUUUCAAGAAAAUUUUGGGUAUGCCACUAUUUUUUUCUACAUAGUUUAGAAUUCCAAAGGCAUAACAGGACUAUAAAUCUCACAGAACUGAAUCCUGCUUUGAUUAUUCUGUUACUCUCUGAGGAAUGAAAUUCAGUUGACAUAGUAGUGAACUUAAAAUCAAGACUUAAAGCAUUGAGAGAAUUGAGUAUUUGGAUUUUCGUUAUUUUUUAAUUUGAAAGUGGUGCUGUGUGGCUUGAUCUCCUGCAUCCUCCAGCCUCUCCUUUGCUAAUUCACCAACUCUGAAGUACCGCCUCCCUCCCUUCCAUCACGCAUGUGCACACGCAAACGCACACACAUGCAAAGGAAGCAUGCCAACUUGGUGUUGCUGUUAACUAGGAUGGUGACUUUAGCAAGCCUCCUUACCUUUUUGAAAUUUCGGCUACAAGAAUAUAUUGGCAGAGGCGGAGAGGUAAGUAUUCAUCCACACAAGCUCUCAAAGCUUUUGCUUUAAUGUUCUAGGAUCCUUAUUUAACUUUUUGUUUGAACAAAGAAUGAGACACUACAGCUUCCUCGUCAUUUCUUAUUCUUUUUAUCUUAUUCUGCACACACUAUGCAUGUCCCUGGACUAGGCGCUCUAUAGACAAUUGAAACGAUGAAGGUAAUUCCCUGCUUAUAAUUAAAAAUACACAUUUUGAUACAGAAGCCUGCACGGUAGAAUAGCAGUAGUGACUAAGCAGAGCUGAGAAUUACAGGGAGAUUUGAUCAGAUGGAAGAGCCAGAGCCCAAGUUAUUUUUCAAAUCAUAGAGCCCUAUCAUGUACCUUGUUAAUAAAUAGUAUUGACUCUCCUAUGGAUAUUUAUUA
rnacentral:lncRNA from 1 species